UCAGAGUUUUUUUUAUACAACACCCAAGGUCAGGCCUUACUCUGGGAGCUUCUGACCCAUAGUCUAGGACCUGCCAGGGGCCUCUGCCUUUUAGACGGACUUCAGAGGAGCUGGGCCCCUGGCUAAAAAAGCAGCAUGUGCUCAGAAAUGCCAGACUCGGGCUUCCCUGGUGGCGCAGUGGUAAAGAAUCCGCCUGCCAGUGCAGGGGACACGGGUUCGAGCCCUGGUCCAGGAAGAUCCCACAUGCCGCGGAGCAACUAAGCCUGUGCGCCACAAUUACUGAGCCUGCGCUCUAGAGCCUGUGAGCCACAACUACUGAAGCCCAUGUGCCACAACUACUGAAGCCCGUGCGCCUACAGCCCGUGCUCCGCAACAAGAGAAGCCACCACAAUGAGAAGCCCGUGCACCGCAAGAAGAGUAUCCCCUGCUCACUGCAACUAGAGAAAGCCUGCGCGCAGCAAUGAAGACCCAAUGCAGCCAAAAAUAAAUAAAUUAAAUAAAUAAAUUUAA